rnacentral:lncRNA from 1 species
UUUUUUUCUUUUUAAGAUUUUAUUUAUUUAUUCAUGAGAGAGAGAGAGAGAGAGAGAGGCAGAGACAUAGGCAGAGGGAGAAGCAGGCUCCCUGUGGGGAGCCGGAUGCAGAACUCCAUCCCAGGACCACAGGAUCAGGACCUGAGCCAAAGGCAGAUGCUCAAUCAUUGAGCCACCCAGGUGCCCCUGUCAUGGCAUUUUCAUAGCUACUUUUUAAAGUAUUUUUUUCACUGUUUAUACAGUAUGUGUUAAGCUUUGUUGAUAACUUGCUGGCAGUGUCUUUCUAUUCUCAGAGUGCUCUGGGUGGGUUAGGGUCACACAGCUUUUAUUAUGUACAUUACCUGUGAAGCUAUCAGGCAGGGACAUCAAGAUGGCCAGGGUUACCAUAGCAGCAAAGCUGUGUCAGCCCAGCUAUCCACCCAUGAUUCUCAGAGUAUAAUGGGCCUAAUUAACUUCAGCACAAACUCAGGGUCAGUACCAUCUUUUUCAGUAAUGCAUAUGGAUGUUGGGAGUUGAUGAUAUGGUACAUGCAAAGCAUUAAGAAUAGUGCCACCUAAUAGUAAUAGUGGUGAUAACUUCCUCUCUGCUGGAUACUGUACUUAUUGCUUGUCAUGGAUCAUGGUGAUAUUCACAGCUAUUGCCACAACUGAGAUAGUUGAGGCUUAGUAUGGCCAAAUGAUUUGCCCUUGGCAGUAAAGCUAGAAAGUACCCAUCUCUUAAUGCCAGGGCCCUAUUUGUGUAGUAAUUUGCUGUUCAUCAUCUGAUGCAGUUAGGCCCCAUUCACCCAUCUGUUUGCCCUCUCACCUUGGACUUGAGUGAUUUCAAACCACAUUGCCUCUUUUAUAUUAUUCCUCUCUUCCUCAAACUUUCCCUACUUCUCUGCCCCCCUCCCCCUCAAAUCCUUCUGGGAAGGGUGAUAAUCAAUAAGAGAUAAUGUUCAGGGAAAAACCAGUUAGGAGCUCCAGUAAUGAGCUCCUUCCUGGCUGGUUUGCAGGGGCAUGACUCUGCAGGAGGGACUGGGCGAGUAGGGUGCUAAGUGCUGGGGUGAGGCAUGGGGCAAUGACUGUUAUCAACUGGUAUAGAAGUGCAACUAUUGUAGAAAUUGGUACAUUCAUACACGUUUGUAUGUUCUGAAUUAUAUCCCUGUCUCUGUAAAUCCUUGAUCUGAGUUUCUGUUCAAGUAUCACCUGCUUUGGUUUUCCCAGACAGACAAAAAAGCCUGGGCUUAGUCUUCACUCUUUAAUCUGCUCUCUUCUUUUUCUGAUCUCACUACCUUGUAAGGAUUUGUCCGUGUCCGUCUUUUGUACAAGACUGCUAGGUGAGGGCAGGUUCCAAGUAGAAUCUGCCUUUGCAUCCCUCUUGCUUGAUACACUGUUGAGUGAAUAAAUGAAUCUCCGCAUCUGAUACUUUUACCUUUUUCUGCAGGUUUUAGAUUCCCAGCUGGGUUUACAGAGCCUUAAAUAUGGGAGCUAGAGUUUACAUCUCCACUUCCUGGUGCCCACUGUUCUCUAACAAAGUUUACAUCCUCAAUGUUGAUGUUUGUGGUUGGUGGAGAAGCCAUAAUAAUAAUAAACCAAUUAUAAAUUUCAUGUUAUUAUGCAAUUUCUAUGUGCUACAACUUAUAGAAGCUGAAAUUCAGACACAUAUAUAUAUACACACAUGCAAUAUGCAUUUAGACAUCAUAUAUGCAUGCUGAUCAUAAGUAGAGUCACCCAUGCACAUUCACACACACACUUAAUCUUUGUAAAACAAAACUCUGAAGGCAGACACUUUUGAUCUGUACUUUGAAAAACUGGAACCAAAGAUCAGACACUUAAAUUCUUUAAUUCAUUUCAGUGACUAUGUGCAUCCCUUCAGUGUGCUGCUGAUUGUCACUGGCCCUGGGUGGUGGAUAUUCAGUGACGAACACUUCAGAGUUUCAUGCCUUUAUUGAGCUUUCAGUAAGUGGCAGAGAGAUGAUUACACACUGUGAUAAUGUUAGGAAGGGAAAAGGAAUGCUAUGAAGGAGGAUAACAAGGUGGCUAUAAUUUUCAUCUGAAGGGGCUAAGGACAUACUUCCAUGAAAUGACAGCCUACCUGGUCAGGAGCUGGGCUAGAAUAUGAGGCAAAAUCUGUUGGGCAGAUUAUGGACAAAACGACAUUUGGCACUUCAUUUUGUAGAAGAGAGCCACUCUUAAAAUUUAUUAAACAAAAAAUCAUUUUAAAUGUUUUAAUUUUACUACUAUUCACAGAAUGUUAGGGAUCCCUAUGUAAGGAUCACUUGGUUAGUAGCCAUUAUAUGUGAUUAUUCAAAAAUUACUUAAAUGCCUUCAGUGGUCAGGACCCGACUACCUCAAAAUACAGCCUGUUAUCCCCUCAGUAAAAUAUAAUUUAUUAUACUCUUGUAAUGUGCUCAAAGCUGCUUUCUCAUUAUUUCCAUCCAGUUGAUCUGGAAAAGCACUAGAAACCACUUCUUUUCCAUGAUAUUCUCCAUGAUACUUUACUGAUUUGCCAGUCUGAUGAUUUCAAGGAUCCCUUCUUCAUCUUUUCCCUGGAGAAGUAUCACCAGUACCACUUUGGUUUACUGCAGCCAUCAUCUUCUGCUCCUUGGAUGUCCCUCUUAAAAUGGUACAACCAGAGCUAAACAAAGUGACAUCUGACCAGCAGAGUGUCAGAAUUUUCUUCCUAUUAUCUGGCCACUUCCUUUCCUCCAGGGUCUGAGUCUGGUAACAAAUGGACCCCAAAACCCUGUGAUCAACUCUGUCAGUGUUUCACAUUCCUGUUACUUAUUCAUGUGUUCUGUUUUUUACUCAUUUGAUUACAGACUUCUUGAGGGAAGUGCCUACCUUCAGAUUUGACACAUAGCAAUCAUACCACAAAUGUUUUUCAAAACAAAUUUUUGAAAUGGAGACAUUCCCCCUCUAUAUCAGAAGCUCUGUAUGAAUUUGCUCUUUAAAAAUCAGCAGGUAAAAAUCAGAAGAUUCCAUCAUGAAUAUCCAAAUUACCUAAUGCUGUUACCUGUAAUGGAACUCUUUGGAACAUUUGUCUGAUUGGAGAAUCCUUGUGUUUCCUACUAACGCUAAUAGUCACACCUUAAUGACUCCUCAAAGUUUGUUUUUUCUUUAUUUAAGGACAACUUUUGAUUCCCUUUAUUUUUUGAUUCAGUUAAAAUCUGCUCCAUCUUUAUAUCUCUUUCACUAUCUGUCCCUGCCUUCAGCCACUUUCUCCAUGUUUUUGCACUCCCAAGUUCUUGCUCAUUUGACAUCAUUUUGUACUCUAGGAACAAAUGCUGAUUGAAGUUCUUUGCUUAAAUAGUCAUAUUUUCCUUAAAAAAAAACAAAACACAACCCAUUUGGAUUUUAUUCUGCAAGCAAGCUGGAGACUUUCUCUCUGCCAGGCUCCUUUGCCAAAAUGUGGAGUAGAAUAUGAUCUCGUCUAUUGUGUAAAUGCUAUUUCCCUAAAACAAUAAGAAUAGCUAUAGGGUGAGAAUGAAAGGAGCAAUGGAGCCAUUUGAGAGGCUGGCUGGCCAAUCCCAACAGCAGCUUGUAUUUAUACAUUGCUAAUGACAUGCCAGGUGCUCUUCUAAGUGCUUUGUGCUUACUCAUUUAAUUUUCAUCAUAACUCAGAGAAGCCUGAACACUAUCCCAUUUUACAGGUGACUAAACUGAAGUUCAAAGAGGUUAAAUAAUUCACCCUUUCCCAAGAUGGUAAAGGGUGGAAGUGGGAAGCAAAAUCCUAGCAGCUUUGGUUUCCUUUUACUAAGGCUUCUUCAGUGCUGCCUACUGGGACUCCCAGCAUUCUUGGAAGCCACUCAGUCUUGUUACCAUAUACAGUCUUGUUCUGACUAGACUGAUUAACCCAGAAAUAAAAUUAAAUGGAAAGGAAACAAAGAUACCUUUGUCUUCUAAGAGAAGUCAUGGUUAGAUUGGUAGUAGCACCUGGACUGUAGUUAGGAGUCAUGAAUUCUAAUCUGUGUCCCUAUGUCUGAACCUUUUCUCCAAAGUCUUAGAUUAGGAACUCAGAUUAAGAUCUCUUUCCUUUCCAGGAUGCUAUUCUUAUAAUAAGAAAAACAAUAAUAGAGCAUGCAAGGUUAUUAGCCAUUAUCUCUAGUCUUGUUUCCCAAUAUGUGGAAUAAACACACUACUAAAAAAAAUAGAGUCCCUUAGUGAGGUGAUUGUUCACUUUUCAUUUGUGGUCAGUCACCCUGCUAACUAUCAUGAGGAAAGUCUCAGUGUGGUGCUAGGAUAUCUUCAACCUCUAGCACCUUCUCCUUUUUUAACAAAGAGGCAACAGGCUCCAGAUGGGAGCCUUUGGCAGACAGCAGUAUUCAUUGUAAUGGUUUUAUGUUGACUGCCAGAAGAGACCUCUAGCAAACCUAAAACCAAGGCUUAUAGGUUUUAACCUAGGUCCACUUAGGAAAACGACCUUGGCUUUAGCCAGCAUCCCAGAAAGGAGACAUUUACAUUGAUGUGCACUCAAAAGCCAGGAAAGUGUGCCUUUCCACAAAGGAGGCUUUCUGUGCCCCCUCCUGGGCAAGGCUAUGCCUAGUAAACUGUGUGCUUUACCAACAUUAAAAAACCCUUUAUGUUUCUCUUGCAUCUUUCUGUUGAACACAUUACCAUCCUGUAGUUCCAACUUUAGGGUGUUACUUUGACUUGAUAGAAAGCAUACUGGUUCUCCAUUUAUGAUAUGGCAUAAAAUUUAAUAAU